AGAGUUUGAUCAUGGCUCAGGAUAAACGCUGGCGGCAUGCCUAAUACAUGCAAGUCGAACGGGAGUGCUUGCACUCCAGUGGCGAACGGGUGAGUAACACGUAUCUAAUCUACCGUAAAGCGGGGGAUAGCUUUUGGAAACGAAAGGUAAUACCGCAUGUGAACUUCAUUAUCGCAUGAGAAGAAGUUGAAAGUUCCGUUUGGAACACUUUACGAUGAGGAUGCGGCGUAUUAGCUAGUAGGCGGGGUAAAGGCCCACCUAGGCAAUGAUACGUAGCCGAACUGAGAGGUUGAUCGGCCACAUUGGGACUGAGAUACGGCCCAGACUCCUACGGGAGGCAGCA
rnacentral:rRNA from 1 species